rnacentral:rRNA from 1 species
AUUGAACGCUGGCGGCAUGCCUUACACAUGCAAGUCGAACGGCAGCACGGGGCAACCUGGUGGCGAGUGGCGAACGGGUGAGUAAUGCAUCGGAACGUACCUUUCAGUGGGGGAUAACGUAGCGAAAGUUACGCUAAUACCGCAUAUUCUUUGAGCAGGAAAGCAGGGGAUCGCAAGACCUUGCGCUGAGUGAGCGGCCGAUGUCAGAUUAGCUAGUUGGUGAGGUAAAGGCUCACCAAGGCGACGAUCUGUAGCGGGUCUGAGAGGAUGAUCCGCCAGACUGGAACUGAGACACGGUCCAGACUCAUACGGGAGGCAGCAGUGGGGAAUUUUGGACAAUGGGGGCAACCCUGAUCCAGCCAUGCCGCGUGAGUGAAGAAGGCCUUCGGGUUGUAAAGCUCUUUCGGACGGGAAGAAAUCGCACGGGCUAAUACCCUGUGUGGAUGACGGUACCGGAAUAAGAAGCACCGGCUAACUACGUGCCAGCAGCCGCCGUAAUAC